rnacentral:rRNA from 1 species
CCUACGGGAGGCAGCAGUGGGGAAUUUUGGACAAUGGGCGAAAGCCUGAUCCAGCAAUGCCGCGUGAGUGAAGAAGGCCUUCGGGUUGUAAAGCUCUUUUGUCAGGGAAGAAACGGUGAGGGCUAAUAUCCCUUGCUAAUGACGGUACCUGAAGAAUAAGCACCGGCUAACUACGUGCCAGCAGCCGCGGUAAUACGUAGGGUGCAAGCGUUAAUCGGAAUUACUGGGCGUAAAGCGUGCGCAGGCGGUUUUGUAAGUCUGUCGUGAAAUCCCCGGGCUCAACCUGGGAAUUGCGAUGGAGACUGCAAGGCUAGAAUCUGGCAGAGGGGGGUAGAAUUCCACGUGUAGCAGUGAAAUGCGUAGAGAUGUGGAGGAACACCGAUGGCGAAGGCAGCCCCCUGGGUCAAGAUUGACGCUCAUGCACGAAAGCGUGGGGAGCAAACAGGAUUAGAUACCCUGGUAGUCCACGCCCUAAACGAUGUCUACUAGUUGUCGGGUUUUAAUUAACUUGGUAACGCAGCUAACGCGUGAAGUAGACCGCCUGGGGAGUACGGUCGCAAGAUUAAAACUCAAAGGAUUGACGG